rnacentral:rRNA from 1 species
GUAGGUGGCAAGCGUUGUCCGGAAUUAUUGGGCGUAAAGCGCGCGCAGGCGGUUCUUUAAGUCUGAUGUGAAAGCCCACGGCUCAACCGUGGAGGGUCAUUGGAAACUGGAGAACUUGAGUACAGAAGAGGAAAGCGGAAUUCCACGCGUAGCGGUGAAAUGCGUAGAGAUGUGGAGGAACACCAGUGGCGAAGGCGGCUUUCUGGUCUGUAACUGACGCUGAGGCGCGAAAGCGUGGGGAGCAAACAGGAUUAGAUACCCGGGUAGUCCACGCCGUAAACGAUGAGUGCUAAGUGUUAGGGGGGUUUCCGCCCCCUUAGUGCUGCAGCUAACGCAUUAAGCACUCCGCCUGGGGAGUACGGCCGCAAGGCUG